UCGACGAUGAAUCUUCUAGCUUGCUAGAAGUGGAUUAGUGGCGCACGGGUGAGUAAUGCAUAGGUUAUGUGCCCUUUAGUCUGGGAUAGCCACUGGAAACGGUGAUUAAUACUGGAUACUCCCUACGGGGGAAAGUUUUUCGCUAAAGGAUCAGCCUAUGUCCUAUCAGCUCGUUGGUGAGGCAAUGGCUCACCAAGGCUAUGACGGGUAUCCGGCCUGAGAGGGUGAUCGGACACACUGGAACUGAGACACGGUCCAGACUCCUACGGGAGGCAGCAGUAGGGAAUAUUGCUCAAUGGGGGAAACCCUGAAGCAGCAACGCCGCGUGGAGGAUGAAGGUUUUAGGAUUGUAAACUCCUUUUGUUAGAGAAGAUUAUGACGGUAUCUAACGAAUAAGCACCGGCUAACUCCGUGCCAGCAGCCGCGGUAAUACGGAGGGUGCAAGCGUUACUCGGAAUCACUGGGCGUAAAGAGUGCGUAGGCGGGGUAAUAAGUCAGAUGUGAAAUCCUGUAGCUUAACUACAGAACUGCAUUUGAAACUGUUACUCUGGAGUGUGGGAGAGGUAGGUGGAAUUCUUGGUGUAGGGGUAAAAUCCGUAGAGAUCAAGAGGAAUACUCAUUGCGAAGGCGACCUGCUGGAACAUUACUGACGCUGAUGCACGAAAGCGUGGGGAGCAAACAGGAUUAGAUACCCUGGUAGUCCACGCCCUAAACGAUGGAUGCUAGUUGUUGCCUUGCUUGUCAGGGCAGUAAUGCAGCUAACGCAUUAAGCAUCCCGCCUGGGGAGUACGGUCGCAAGAUUAAAACUCAAAGGAAUAGACGGGGACCCGCACAAGCGGUGGAGCAUGUGGUUUAAUUCGAAGAUACGCGAAGAACCUUACCUAGGCUUGACAUUGAU
rnacentral:rRNA from 1 species